GACGAGGAGGACGAGGAUUUGUGCUCGUAUUUUACAACAGUGAUACCUUAUCACAUGGACAGUGGCCCACCUGAUAAUCAAGCUUUACAAGUCCUCAUUAAGAUAUUAAAGGCUAUUAAUGAGGAUAGUCCAACGGUGCCCACAUUAUCAACGGACUACAUAUUGAAAGAUCUGUGCCCCACCUAGUGAUCCACUAGUACAUAUCCUCCGACGUGACAUCGCUCCGCUACGUAUGCAGAAGAAAAGAUUUAUUAAGAUGCAGAUUGCUCCUCUCUUCUUGCCAUUGUGCUUUCAGCCAUUGUUGUGCUGUGUGUUUAAAAUUUAGGACAGUAUAUAAGAUAGAAUAACAUGUACAUCUACGAAUAUAGCACUGCAAUAAAUCUUAUAUAAAUGAGCUCUCAUUGAGAUUUCUCUGUAUUUAUAACUCGACGCGAGAAGGCAAAAAUCAAUGUAAUGCCAUCUGUAAGGUAAUUGGACUCGUAUUUGCACUACGAGAACUCUUUGGGCAUUUUGCG
rnacentral:lncRNA from 1 species